rnacentral:rRNA from 1 species
CCUACGGGAGGCAGCAGUGGGGAAUAUUGCACAAUGGGGGAAACCCUGAUGCAGCGACGCCGCGUGAGUGAAGAAGUAUUUCGGUAUGUAAACUUCUAUCAGCAGGGAAGAAAAUGACGGUACCUGACUAAGAAGCCCCGGCUAACUACGUGCCAGCAGCCGCGGUAAUACGUAGGGGGCAAGCGUUAUCCGGAUUUACUGGGUGUAAAGGGAGCGUAGACGGCAGAGCAAGUCUGGAGUGAAAUCCCGGGGCUGAACCCCGGGACUGCUUUGGAAACUGGGCGGCUGGAGUGCAGGAGGGGGAAGGGGAAUUCCGAGUGUAGCGGUGAAAUGCGUAGAUAUUAGGAGGAACACCAGUGGCGAAGGCGGCUUACUGGACGAUGACUGACGUUGAGGCUCGAAAGCGUGGGGAGCAAACAGGAUUAGAUACCCGAGUAGUC